UACGUAGGUGGCAAGCGUUGUCCGGAAUUAUUGGGCGUAAAGCGCGCGCAGGCGGUCCUUUAAGUCUGAUGUGAAAGCCCACGGCUCAACCGUGGAGGGUCAUUGGAAACUGGGGGACUUGAGUGCAGAAGAGGAAAGCGGAAUUCCACGUGUAGCGGUGAAAUGCGCAGAUAUCAGGAAGAACACCAAUGGCGAAAGCAGCUCUCUGGGACGGUACUGACGCUGAGACGCGAAAGCGUGGGGAGCGAACAGG
rnacentral:rRNA from 1 species